rnacentral:rRNA from 1 species
GAUGAACGCUGGCGGCGUGCCUAAUACAUGCAAGUCGAGCGAACGGACGAGAAGCUUGCUUCUCUGAUGUUAGCGGCGGACGGGUGAGUAACACGUGGAUAACCUACCUAUAAGACUGGGAUAACUUCGGGAAACCGGAGCUAAUACCGGAUAAUAUUUUGAACCGCAUGGUUCAAAAGUUAAAGACGGUCUUGCUGUCACUUAUAGAUGGAUCCGCGCUGCAUUAGCUAGUUGGUAAGGUAACGGCUUACCAAGGCAACGAUGCAUAGCCGACCUGAGAGGGUGAUCGGCCACACUGGAACUGAGACACGGUCCAGACUCCUACGGGAGGCAGCAGUAGGGAAUCUUCCGCAAUGGGCGAAAGCCUGACGGAGCAACGCCGCGUGAGCGAUGAAGGUCUUCGGAUCGUAAAACUCUGUUAUUAGGGAAGAAAAUAUGUGUAAGUAACUGUGCACAUCUUGACGGUACCUAAUCAGAAAGCCACGGCUAACUACGUG